rnacentral:rRNA from 1 species
AAUGAACGCUGGCGGCAGGCCUAACACAUGCAAGUCGAACGAGGUAGCAAUACCUAGUGGCGGACGGGUGAGUAACACGUGGGAACGUACCCUUUGCUACGGGAAUAGCCCUGGGAAACUGGGAGUAAUACCGUAUGAGCCCGAGAGGGGAAAGAUUUAUCGGCAAAGGAUCGGCCCGCGUUGGAUUAGGUAGUUGGUGGGGUAAUGGCCUACCAAGCCGACGAUCCAUAGCUGGUUUGAGAGGACGAUCAGCCACACUGGGACUGAGACACGGCCCAGACUCCUACGGGAGGCAGCAGUGGGGAAUCUUAGACAAGGGGGGAAACCCUGAUCUAGCCAUGCCGCGUGAUCGAUGAAGGCCUUAGGGUUGUAAAGAUCUUUCGGGUGGGAAGAUAAUGACUGUACCACCAGAAGAAGCCCCGGCUAACUCCGUGCCAGCAGCCGCGGUAAU